rnacentral:rRNA from 1 species
UACGAAGGGGGCUAGCGUUGCUCGGAAUCACUGGGCGUAAAGCGCACGUAGGCGGCUUCUUAAGUCAGGGGUGAAAUCCUGGAGCUCAACUCCAGAACUGCCUUUGAUACUGGGAAGCUUCGAGUCCGGGAAAGGUGAGUGGAACUGCGAGUGUAGAGGUGAAAUUCGUAGAUAUUCGCAAGAACACCAGUGGCGAAGGCGGCUCACUGGCCCGGUACUGACGCUGAGGUGCGAAAGCGUGGGGAGCAAA